CUCUAGCAGGUGUAUUUUUAUUCUCGGUUGAACAAUCUAUUAUUGAAUUCAUUAAUAGGAGGUCAUUCAUAAUGACACAAGGUACAGUUAAAUGGUUUAAUGCAGAAAAAGGUUUCGGUUUCAUCGAAGUUGAAGGUGGAAACGACGUAUUCGUACACUUCUCAGCUAUCCAAGGCGACGGUUUCAAAACUUUAGACGAAGGUCAAAAAGUUGAAUUCGAAGUUGAAGAAGGUAACCGCGGACCACAAGCUACUAACGUAACUAAACUUUAAUUUUUAAAGUUUGUCCGUAAAAAGCAACUCUCUUAGGAGAGUUGCUUUUUU
rnacentral:other from 1 species